rnacentral:rRNA from 1 species
UCCUACGGGAGGCAGCAGUAGGGAAUCUUCGGCAAUGGACGAAAGUCUGACCGAGCAACGCCGCGUGAGUGAAGAAGGUUUUCGGAUCGUAAAACUCUGUUGUUAGAGAAGAACGUUGCAUAGAGUGGAAAAUUAUGCAAGUGACGGUAUCUAACCAGAAAGGGACGGCUAACUACGUGCCAGCAGCCGCGGUAAUA